UGCGUAGGUGGCUAGGUAAGUCCGAUGUGAAAGCUCCGAGCCCAACUCGGAAAAGUCAUUGGAAACUAUCGAGCUAGAGGAUUGGAGAGGGGACUGGAAUUCUCGGUGUAGCAGUGAAAUGCGUAGAUAUCGAGAGGAACACCAGUGGCGAAGGCGAGUCCCUGGACAACUCCUGACACUGAGGCACGAAAGCUAGGGGAGCAAACA
rnacentral:rRNA from 1 species